GUGCUGGUUUAGCUCAGUGGGUUACUUCUUGUGUAAAAACUAUUUCAUGGUCUGCAGGCCGGAGGUACGACCCCGGGCGCAGUCCAGUGCUUUU
ensembl:vault_RNA Vault Vault RNA